CCUACGGGAGGCAGCAGUGGGGAAUAUUGGACAAUGGGGGAAACCCUGAUGCAGCGACGCCGCGUGAGUGAAGAAGUAAUUCGGUAUGUAAAGCUCUAUCAGCAGGGAAGAAAAUGACGGUACCUGAGGAAGAAGCCCCGGCUAACUACGAGCCAGCAGCCGCGGUAAUACGUAGGGGGCAAGCGUUAUCCGGAUUUACUGGGUGUAAAGGGAGCGUAGACGGCAGUGCAAGUCUGGAGUGAAAGGCGGGGGCUCAACCCCCGGACUGCUGUUGAAACUGUACGGCUGGAGUGCCGGAGAGGUAGGCGGAAUUCCUAGUGUAGCGGUGAAAUGCGUAGAUAUUAGGAGGAACACCAGUGGCGAAGGCGGCCUACUGGACGGUGACUGACGCUGAGGCACGAAAGCGUGGGUAUCGAACAGGAUUAGAUACCCCUGUAGUC
rnacentral:rRNA from 1 species